rnacentral:lncRNA from 1 species
UCAAGUCGUAAAUAUUUAGAGUGAAAUGAGGGUGAGUAUAUGAUAACAGACUAUCCAUUUUUAGGUGAACUAUCAUUAGGAUGGGAUGUUUAGGUUCCAGACUGGAAUAAUUAUGAAAAUGAACCAUGAUUUUUGGUUUUGAUUUUAGCUUUACAUAAUGUAUUUGCACUCUUGCCUGGGUAUCCAUGAUGACUAUGGCACUGCAGAUGUUGUAUCACUGAGUCAUGCACAUGUCCGAUUGGGUUACAGUAAUCUGCAAAACACUAGCUGAGAACUGCAGCUACCAGAAUGAUCAGGCUCAGAGAAGAGAGAAACCAGACGAGAAGGUGAAUGCAGACUCUGUAUCGCUCUCUUCCCCCUCUCUGUCUUCCUCUGUGUGGGUCUAAAGACAUUUUAAACAUUGUGAUUAUCUGUCCCACAGGUGUAUGAUUGUCUAUAAUGAGACGACUGAAAAUGGGACAGAUUGAAGUUUCCUUGAAGAAGAGUGGGACUGUGGGACCAGCACAAUCAGAGCCCUGGAAAUACAGUGUCGUCACGUGUGAUGCUACCGGCUCUACACCGACCGGAUCUGGACUGCACAUGAGCCACAUAGCUGGAGGGUGUAUGGUGUGGGAACGGAGAUGGGGGAUGUCCCUGCGUUCUUCACAGCCCGGGCAGCCAGGCUGUCAGGGACAGGCCCUGGUGGUGAAGCCUGUGAGGAGUUUGCAGAGAUGUCCCGCUCAACAAUGGUAAGAGCCAUCAG